rnacentral:rRNA from 1 species
GGCGCAAACGGGAUUAGAUACCCCGGUAGUCCAGGGUGUAAACGCUGCUUGCUUGAUGUUAGUCGGGCUUCGAGCCCGAUUAGUGUCGGAGAGAAGUUGUUAAGCAAGCUGCCUGGGAAGUACGGCCGCAAGACUGAAACUUAAAGGAAUUGGCGGGGGAGCACAGCAACGGGUGGAGCGUGCGGUUUAAUUGGAUUCAACGCCGGAAAGCUCACCGGAGGCGACGGUUACAUGAAGGCCAGGCUGAUGACCUUGCUAGAUUUUCCGAGAGGUGGUGCAUGGCCGCCGUCAGUUCGUACCGUAAGGCGUUCUGUUAAGUCAGACAGCGAACGAGACCCUCAUCUUUAAUUGCUAUUGGCAAGUCCGCUUGUCAAGCACAUUAAAGAAACCGCUGGCGAUAAGUCAGAGGAAGGCGAGGGCAACGGUAGGUCAGUAUGCCCUGAAUCCUCCGGGCUACACGCGCGUACAAAGGUAGGACAAUGGGCUCGACACCGAGAGGUGAAGGUAAUCCCGAAACUAGUUAAAGUUCGGAUCGAGGGUUGAAACUCACCCUCGUGAAGAUGGAAUCCGUAGUAAUCGCGUGU